rnacentral:rRNA from 1 species
GAUGAGCGCUGGCGGCGUGCCUAAUACAUGCAAGUCGAGCGGUAAGGCCCCUUCGGGGGUACACGAGCGGCGGACGGCUGAGUAACACGUAGGAACGUACCCCAAAGUGAGGGAUAACUGCUCGAAAGAGCAGCUAAUACCGCAUGUGAUCAACGGAUUAAAGCUUUCUGCGCUUUGGGAACGGCCUGCGUCCGAUUAGCUUGUUGGUGAGGUAAUAGCUCACCAAGGCGAUGAUCGGUAGCUGGUCUGAGAGGAGGAUCAGCCAGACUGGGACUGAGACACGGCCCAGACUCCUACGGGAGGCAGCAGUAGGGAAUUUUCCACAAUGGGCGAAAGCCUGAUGGAGCAACGCCGCGUGCAGGAUGAAUGCCUUAGGGUUGUAAACUGCUUUUAAUAGUGACGAUUAUGACGGUAACUAUUGAAUAAGGACCUGCUAACUACGUGCCAGCCGCCGCAGUAA